GAUGCAUUCCCGAAGAAAGGGAGAGCAAGUAAAAGAAAGGCAAAAAGAUGUCUUCUUGCUCUCCUUUUUGUCUGAGGGCUACAGCACAGUCUGCCUUCCAUAAAGGCGGCAGGGGAGGAGGCGGCAGGGGACGAGGCGGCAGAGGAUAGAGGCGGCAGGGGAUAGAGGCGGCAGGGGUACGUAAGCCUGGACUGUACGUCUCAGCAGCCCUACGGGUAUCCUGGGGGGCUCAAUGCCACGGAGUGUGGGCCUCCACACAGCGAAACCC
rnacentral:lncRNA from 1 species